GAUGAACGCUGGCGGCGUGCCUAAUACAUGCAAGUCGAGCGAAUGGAUUAAGAGCUUGCUCUUAUGAAGUUAGCGGCGGACGGGUGAGUAACACGUGAGUAACCUGCCCAUAAGACUGGGAUAACUCCGGGAAACCGGGGCUAAUACCGGAUAACAUUUUGAACCGCAUGGUUCGAAAUUGAAAGGCGGCUUCGGCUGUCACUUAUGGAUGGACCCGCGUCGCAUUAGCUAGGUGGUGAGGUAACGGCACACCAAGGCAACGAUGCGUAGUCGACCUGAGAGGGUGAGCGGCCACACUGGGACUGAGACACGGCCCAGACUCCUACGGGAGGCAGCAGUAGGGAAUCUUCCGCAAUGGACGAAAGUCUGACGGAGCAACGCCGCGUGAGUGAUGAAGGCUUUCGGGUCGUAAAACUCUGUUGUUAGGGAAGAACAAGUGCUAGUUGAAUAAGCUGGCACCUUGACGGUACCUAACCAGAAAGCCACGGCUAACUACGUGCCAGCCGCCGCCGUAA
rnacentral:rRNA from 1 species